AUGACGACGACGAAGAUUCCCAAAACCAGAUUUUGGUUGAAGGAAGAGCGAAAUCGUGUACAGCUAUUCUCAACCGGCGAUCUCCUCGCUUUGCUCCGUCUUAGUUUCCAAAGCCGUCUUCUCUUCUUCUCCGAUCAACGGUUCCAUCUCCGCCGUGAAUGCUGUCACUUCCUCGUUUGCGAUUUCGACGUUUCCAUCUACAUAGAUUCCUUGUUUCACGUCAGAUCUAUACCGCUCGGUAUUGCCGUUGCCGUCCCGAUGAAGGCCUUGACGUACAGGUUGAAGUCUCGUUGUAUUCUUUGA